GACGAACGCUGGCGGCGUGCUUAACACAUGCAAGUCGAACGGAAAGGCCCUGCUUUUGUGGGGUGCUCGAGUGGCGAACGGGUGAGUAACACGUGAGUAACCUGCCCUUGACUUUGGGAUAACUUCAGGAAACUGGGGCUGAUACCGGAUAGGAGCUCCUGCUGCAUGGUGGGGGUUGGAAAGUUUCGGCGGUUGGGGAUGGACUCGCGGCUUAUCAGCUUGUUGGUGGGGUAGUGGCUUACCAAGGCUUUGACGGGUAGCCGGCCUGAGAGGGUGACCGGCCACAUUGGGACUGAGAUACGGCCCAGACUCCUACGGGAGGCAGCAGUGGGGAAUAUUGCACAAUGGGCGGAAGCCUGAUGCAGCAACGCCGCGUGCGGGAUGACGGCCUUCGGGUUGUAAACCGCUUUCGCCUGUGACGAAGCGUGAGUGACGGUAAUGGGUAAAGAAUCACCGGCUAACUACGUG
rnacentral:rRNA from 1 species